AAGAGGCAUUCUUGACUUUUAACAAAUUGCAGGCCACCUCCCCAUUAUUAAUCAGGUUUGCUUGUCAACUUGGGUUCUUGAGAAGGAAGUUCCUCUUCAUUUCUCCUCCUACAAGUACAAAUUAAUCUAGCCGCUCAGUUUGCUAGGACUGGUUUUGGAUGACCGAAGGGAUUAAAGAUCGGAGAGAUGGAUCCAAAGCUAGAAGAACUUAGCCAUAGCUACAAAGAAUUGACUAGCAUCAACGAGAAGCAAGAGAAGAGAGUAAGACAUCUUGAAACUAAAUUAAUGUGGUCAGUGAGUUCCUAUGUUGUCGCUCAAGGAAUCGUUUUCUUGUCUAUUUCUCGACCCUCAAACAUCUCCUGCAACAAAUGGUGGUACCCCUUUUUCCUUGCUUUAUCGGUUGCUAUCGUGUUUGGCCUAACCUUUACAACUACAAUUUCUAAGUGGGCAAAGACACAGUAUCAAUAUGAGUUGAAUUUACUGGACUUGGAAAUCAUACAUUAUGACCUGUACUUGCUUAAACAUGGCCAGACGAAGAUUGAUGCUUUAUCUAAUUUGCAACCAGAUCAAAGUGUUUUGAGGCCUGACAUGGUUAGGGUGUAUCAGCGCUAUGCUUACAUCUACGUGACUGCUUUUGCUUUGCUUGGAUUCUCAGCUGUAGUCUUGCGUGCCUGUUUUACUCUUGUUUGCAAUUAAUGGUGUGGUGUUUCAAAGAAUAAGCUGUGACCGUAGAAGGGUAAUAUAUAGAGUUGAUGCUAAACUGCCUUCUACGAAUUGCAGAGCAAUAAAAACCACUCUGUUUUCAUCAAUUAGUACUUUUCAAGAAUUUACUUGUGUUUGUAACCAUGCUCGUAUGUACCAGAAAUAAAUACACAAUUAUGUC